AGCUGGAGUUGUCAAAUAUCCUUUGUGCUGUCCUUAGCUACGUACACAAAUGAUUCUUUAUUAGAUUUAACACAAAAGGAUGGAUGCUAAGGAUUUAACCCUUCGGUUGCAAGAACCUAAAACAAUAUCUGUAUCAGACCUAAAGUUUGGAGAUAUUCUAGAAUUUGAAAGGACAUUAGGACCUUUUAUAUAUUAUCAUUGUGGAAUAUAUGCAGGAAAUAAAAUGGUUAUUCAUAAAGGAACGGCUUACUGGUUAAGUACAUGGCAAGCUUUAGAUGCAAAACGGAAACAUGAUAUAAAAUACCGAAUAGAUCGGAUUGAAGAUGUAGCAAAUGGCUCAAAAGUUUAUAGAAAUAACAUGUUGGACGAGGUCAUC